ACUCAAAUGAAUUGACGGGGGCCCGCACAAGCGGUGGAGCAUGUGGUUUAAUUCGAUGCUACGCGAAAAACCUUACCAACCCUUGACAUCUGGGUCGCGCGGAUGAGAGAUCAACCGCUUCAGUUCGGCUGGACCCAAGACAGGUGUUGCAUGGCUGUCGUCAGCUCGUGUCGUGAGAUGUUGGGUUAAGUCCCGCAACGAGCGCAACCCUCAUCCUUAGUUACCAGCACGUUAUGGUGGGCACUCUAAGGAAACUGCCGGCGUUAAGCCGGAGGAAGGUGGGGACGACGUCAAGUCAUCAUGGCCCUUACGGGUUGGGCUACACACGUGCUACAAUGGUGGUGACAAUGGGACGCAAUACCGCAAGGUGGAGCAAAUCCUUAAAAGCCACCUCAGUUCAGAUUGCACCCUGCAACUCGGGUGCAUGAAGUCGGAAUCGCUAGUAAUCGUGGAUCAGCAUGCCACGGUGAAUACGUUCCCGGGCCUUGUACACACCGCCCGU
rnacentral:rRNA from 1 species